GACGAACGCUGGCGGCGUGCUUAACACAUGCAAGUCGAACGGAAAGGCCCUGCUUUUGUGGGGUGCUCGAGUGGCGAACGGGUGAGUAACACGUGAGUAACCUGCCCUUGACUUUGGGAUAACUUCAGGAAACUGGGGCUAAUACCGGAUAGGAGCUCCUGCUGCAUGGUGGGGGUUGGAAAGUUUCGGCGGUUGGGGAUGGACUCGCGGCUUAUCAGCUUGUUGGUGGGGUAGUGGCUUACCAAGGCUUUGACGGGUAGCCGGCCUGAGAGGGUGACCGGCCACCUUGGGACUGCGGUACGGCCCAGACUCCUACGGGAGGCAGCAGUGGGAAAUAUUGCACAAUGGGCGGAAGCCUGAUGCAGCAACGCCGCGUGCGGGAUGACGGCCUUCGGGUUGUAAACCGCUUUCGCCUGUGACGAAGCGUGAGUGACGGUAAUGGGUAAAGAAGCACCGGCUAACUACGUG
rnacentral:rRNA from 1 species